rnacentral:lncRNA from 1 species
AGUUUCUUUGUCUUUUGGCAAUAGCCAUUCCAGUUUCUCUUUCAAUAUAUAUACUUAUUUAUUUAUAUUUUGUUACUUUUCUUUGAGUGAAGGCUCACUUGUCUGAAUUACUUUUUCAUCGAGUUUAUGUCCUUGACACAUGGUAUAAAAUGGGUAGGAUUUUUUUAUUUUAUAGUACAUAGUACGUAGGAUUAAGAAAAGCUAAUAAACUCAUAAAUGGAUAGUUUUAAAGAUAAGAUGG